GUUAAUGUAGCUUAAACUUAAAGCAAGGCACUGAAAAUGCCUAGAUGAA
rnacentral:tRNA from 1 species